GACGAACGCUGGCGGCGUGCUUAACACAUGCAAGUCGAACGGAAAGGCCCUGCUUGCAGGGUACUCGAGUGGCGAACGGGUGAGUAACACGUGGGUGAUCUGCCCUGCACUUCGGGAUAAGCCUGGGAAACUGGGUCUAAUACCGGAUAGGAGCCAUUUUUAGGGUGAUGGUUGGAAAGUUUUUUCGGUGUAGGAUGGGCUCGCGGCCUAUCAGCUUGUUGGUGGGGUCAUGGCCUACCAAGGCGGCGACGGGUAGCCGGCCUGGGAGGGUGGACGGCCACCUUGGGACUGAGAUACGGCCCAGACUCCUACGGGGGGCAGCAGUGGGGAAUAUUGCACAAUGGGCGCCAGCCUGAUGCAGCGACGCCGCGUGGGGGAUGACGGCCUUCGGGUUGUAAACUCCUUUCGCUAGGGACGAAGCUUUUUGUGACGGUACCUAGAUAAGAAGCACCGGCUAACUACGUG
rnacentral:rRNA from 1 species